UUGUAAUCUGCCAAGUAUGGACUGAAACCUCCACAAACUCUAUGAGCUGAGCAAUGUGCUCACCACACACUCUCCCUCCAUGACAUGCUGCUUCACCAUGGUCCCAAAGCUACUGGGUCAACUGAUCAGGAACUGGAACCUCUAAAACUAGGAGCCAGCCAAAGCCUGCUACCUAGGAACAAGGGUGAGGCUCAGUGCAGGACGGGGCAGAGAGACAUUCACCGUGAA